CCACCACCACCACCACCGCGCCCCCGCCCUCUCCCCAUCCCUGGCGGCCCCCACCCUCUCCCCAUCCCUGCCGGCCCCCACCCUCUCCCAAUCCCUAAUCUCUCGUGGCCAGUGGAUUCGCCCCUUGUGGGGUCGAUUCCUCCGAGACGUCGGUCUGGAGGGCCGGCCGGGAGCGGCACGUCCCCCGUCGGCGCGUCGGUGGCGACGGCCCCGCAGGUUGUUGCUCGCGGUUGGUUGCAAGGAUAGUUGUUGCGGUGGUCAAUUUCUCCUAGAAAGGUUUGUCUUCAACCUCUGGAGAUUUGUCUUCGACUAGCUCCGAGAGGUGUCACGGUCUGAGAGGAUAUAGUGGGAUGGCUCCAUCUGCUAGAGUGAUUGGUAGUGGCUGUUAAAAUGAUAGCUGACUGUAACAAAUAAUGUGUGAGAACAAGGAGCCAAAAAUAUUGGGAAAUGACCAUAAGAUAGAUAGUGGAUUCAGUGAUUUGGUUAUUAUGGAGGUUGAUGGAACUUGGUCUACUGUCAGAAUUCAGAGCCAUAAAGCAUUGGACUUGGACAAGCAACAAACAAUCAAGGAUGCGUACGUGACUGCUCCAUGGUUGAGAGCUCUUCCAUGGCAGCAACCAGCAGUCCCAAGGCCAAGCGGACAGUUAGCACAAAAGCUGCAACCAGUGCAUUCAUGACCAAGUUUUCUUCCUUUAUAAUGGAUUUUCAAGAUUCCUUUUAUACUGCUAUUUUUUAUUGCUUCUAUCUUCAUGUACCGUGACUGAUACCGGUGAGUUUUUCUGUAUCAGGACAGUUGUUGUAAGGAAUGUGUUUCCAUGCACCCGCCUCGACCUUUAGGACUGAUUUUAUGCUCUUCGAUUUUGUACUCAGUCAAGUAAUGUUUUUAUGGUUCAUGAAGGUGAGAUAUUUGAAGCUCUACGCUUGUGUGACUAGAAUGGUGAACAUCUUUUUUAAUGGUGAUGCGCUGAGAAUGUGUCCAAGGGGAUCCAGUGGUGCGGGGUGAUGACUGUGGGCAGGCUCCGCUGGGGGAACGAGGUGUUCCGGAAGAGGAUCCAGCCCGGCGAUACUGAGGCUAAGGUCAGCCUGGAGAUGCUCAGGCGUAUCGAAAGCGGAUCAUCGCCUCCCGGAAGCACCAUGGCUACUACUGCUCCGCAUCGCUGCUCCUUAGAUGAGCUCUCGCGAUGCCAGUACCGGUACCCGGAGCAGCGUCGGCCGCCGAGACGGCUGUCCAUGUUGCCAUUGUCAUUGUCCUUCAGCUGGAUCGCGGGGCGGUGACAUGUUCGUCGUGCUCAUUGCUUCUUAUCACUUCGACUACCUGAUAGAGAUGGAAGAGGCAAUGCAGGCCAAGGUGCGCUCGCCGGCGCCGCCCACUGAACGGCGGAUCCAGUGCACACUCAGUGCGCGCAGGGGGUGACGGGCCAAGGUGCACUCGCCGGUGCCGCCCACUGACCGGCGGAUCCAGGAGCACCCUCUACGAUGACCUCCCCGGCACGCCACCGCUGUCGACGGUGAGAACCACGCACUCCGUCCAGGUCGCCUAGGUACUGCCGACGAGGUACUACCGAUGAUCUUGGCUCGCAGGUUAUGGAUUACCUGAUGAGAAACGGGGUUUUAUGUGACUGUAUUUAGUAUUCAAUAUGGAACCUGACAGAGAAUAUGUGGAUGCUGGUUAUUUUCCCACUAGAUGAUUUGUUGGGUUCCAUAGAAGGGAAAGAAAGCUUCAACUGAUUGCAAGGAAGGCCUAUUCAAAGAACGACAACCAGAAAAUAUUCCUGUCUAUAUGCAGGGUAUACAAUUUUUGCCCAAUAUGCUAUGUAAAAAUAGUUUACAUUGGUCGGUAUUCGGGUGAUUGAGUUGUAUCCAUGAUGUAAAGUCGUUUAAUUGUCAUGAGUUUGUGUGCACAUAUAAGGUAUUUUUAUGUAUUGUCCAUACUAUUGUUAUUCCCGUCACUCAUAAUCCGGAGAUAUUAGUUGAUGAAUGAUUAAUCGUGCCUUUCUUUUGGUAUAAGGUACUUAAACUUCCUUUUGGUAUAUCAUGCUGCAUUUCCUAAGAAAAUGCCACACUGGUAUGUAAUAGACUGGGUUGGAUAUGACUGGAAAUUAUUG